GGGUUGUGAGGUUAAGCGACUAAGCGUACACGGUGGAUGCCCUGGCAGUCAGAGGCGAUGAAGGACGUGCUAAUCUGCGAUAAGCGCCGGUAAGGUGAUAUGAACCGUUAUAACCGGCGAUUUCCGAAUGGGGAAACCCAGUGUGAUUCGUCACACUAUCAUUAACUGAAUCCAUAGGUUAAUGAGGCGAACCGGGGGAACUGAAACAUCUAAGUACCCCGAGGAAAAGAAAUCAACCGAGAUUCCCCCAGUAGCGGCGAGCGAACGGGGAGGAGCCCAGAGCCUGAAUCAGCAUGUGUGUUAGUGGAAGCGUCUGGAAAGGCGCGCGAUACAGGGUGACAGCCCCGUACACAAAAGCGCAUGUGCUGUGAGCUCGAUGAGUAGGGCGGGACACGUGGUAUCCUGUCUGAAUAUGGGGGGACCAUCCUCCAAGGCUAAAUACUCCUGACUGACCGAUAGUGAACCAGUACCGUGAGGGAAAGGCGAAAAGAACCCCGGCGAGGGGAGUGAAAAAGAACCUGAAACCGUGUACGUACAAGCAGUGGGAGCCCCACCACCAAAGCAUUCUCUGGUGUUGAAGGCCCUGCAAAGCAGCAUCGCGGUGGCGGAGCGUCGUUUGCGACGCCCAACACACAAAACAAGCGGUGAAUGCUUUGGGGUGGGGUGACUGCGUACCUUUUGUAUAAUGGGUCAGCGACUUAUAUUCUGUAGCAAGGUUAACCGAAUAGGGGAGCCGGAGGGAAACCGAGUCUUAAUUGGGCGUUAAGUUGCAGGGUAUAGACCCGAAACCCGGUGAUCUAGCCAUGGGCAGGUUGAAGGUUGGGUAACACUAACUGGAGGACCGAACCGACUAAUGUUGAAAAAUUAGCGGAUGACCUGUGGCUGGGGGUGAAAGGCCAAUCAAACCGGGAGAUAGCUGGUUCUCCCCGAAAGCUAUUUAGGUAGCGCCUCGUGAAUUCAUCUCCGGGGGUAGAGCACUGUUUCGGCUAGGGGGCCAUCCCGGCUUACCAACCCGAUGCAAACUGCGAAUACCGGAGAAUGUUAUCACGGGAGACACACGGCGGGUGCUAACGUCCGUCGUGAAGAGGGAAACAACCCAGACCGCCAGCUAAGGUCCCAAAGUCAUGGUUAAGUGGGAAACGAUGUGGGAAGGCCCAGACAGCCAGGAUGUUGGCUUAGAAGCAGCCAUCAUUUAAAGAAAGCGUAAUAGCUCACUGGUCGAGUCGGCCUGCGCGGAAGAUGUAACGGGGCUAAACCAUGCACCGAAGCUGCGGCAGCGAACGUAUCACCCAAGACAACUUUACGGAGUUGACGAUUGACGGAGCGAAGCGACGUCAAAGCGUUCAUUAAAGUCGAGUUGGCUUAGGGAUACGUUCGUUGGGUAGGGGAGCGUUCUGUAAGCCUGUGAAGGUGUGUCGUGAGGCAUGCUGGAGGUAUCAGAAGUGCGAAUGCUGACAUAAGUAACGAUAAAGCGGGUGAAAAGCCCGCUCGCCGGAAGACCAAGGGUUCCUGUCCAACGUUAAUCGGGGCAGGGUGAGUCGACCCCUAAGGCGAGGCCGAAAGGCGUAGUCGAUGGGAAACGGGUUAAUAUUCCCGUACUUGGUGUUACUGCGAAGGGGGGACGGAGAAGGCUAUGUUGGCCGGGCGACGGUUGUCCCGGUUUAAGCGUGUAGGUGUGUGUUCCAGGUAAAUCCGGUUCACUUUAACACUGAGGCGUGACGACGAGGCACUACGGUGCUGAAGCAACAAAU
rnacentral:rRNA from 1 species